AAUUCAUAGUAUGGCCAUUGUAAUAAAAGUGAAUUGAAGCGGUUUUAUGCUUCACGAAAAGAUUUACCAUUCUUUUAAUAAAAAUUAGAAAUUUCAGCUUUUAAUUC
rfam:Ricinus communis cultivar Hale ctg_1100012360091, whole genome shotgun sequence.